rnacentral:lncRNA from 1 species
AUGAAGACGUUGUUCUUGCGGCUGUGCCCGUGGAAGUCGCAGUACAGCACCACCUCCCGCUCCGCCAGCAGCCUGCGGGCUCCCGUCAGGAUGCGGCCGCCAGCACCGGCCCACCGGCUCCCCCGUGCGCCACCCUCACCUCUCCACCAUGGCCCGCAGGUGCCAGACAGCAGGGAAGGAGCCCCGGCACCCCGUCCCGUAGGCUCUGUUGGGGUCGCGGCCGGCCAGGGAGCAGCGCGAGUUGCCCACCACCACCCCGUCGGGGUUGAGCAUGGGCACCACCUUGAAGACGAAGAGGCGGCGCAGGAGCCGGGCGUCAGGGGCGGCGCUGAGGACGAAGUCGAGGAAGCCCCGCAUGGCCCAGGAGCCGCCGCUCUCGCCGGGGUGCGCGCGGGCGCUCAGCACCACCGCCCGCUUGCCCGCGCCGCCGGCCGGGCUGGUGAUGGUCAGCAGGUAGACGGUGUUGCCGGCCAAGCUGCGGCACAGCGCCCGCACCGCGCAGUACUGCGAGCGCACCGGGUCGCCCACCACCGCCCGCAGGUAGCGCUGCAAAUCCGAGUAGGUGUAGGGGUAGCAGUGGGCCAAGUAGCAGGUGUCGGCGUCGUGGGGGAAGCGCAUGCUCCAGGAGAGGCAGAAGGUGGCCGGCUCGUCCCCACCGCCCCGCCGGUAGUAGCGGACUUUGUCCCCGACACGGCGCCAGCCGACGGCACGGCUGCGGGCGUCCUGCUGCGAGUAGAGCAGCGGCCGCAUGCCCUCGCCGUAGAGGCUCUUGGGCUUCGCCAGGUUGGCAAUGGUGAAGCGGUAGACGGCGUCUCGCCGGGUGUUUUGCACGCGGAAAUAAAACCACUGCGUGUGCUUGGCGGUGUACAAGUCCGGCCGCAGCGUCAGCACGUACUCGUAGGGACCCCUGCCCAGGGGGAAGGGCCACACUGCGGCACCCGGCCCCGCUGCCGUGUCCCUCCAGCUGCCCCCACCCUGGCCCUGCUCUUACACCUUGACGGCUUUCUGGAGGUUGCCGCUCUCAAAGCGCGACUCGAACAGCAGCGUGGUGUCCUGGGGGCCCUCCAGGGACACCGCUGGUGA